GGACUGUACAUUUUUAUUUUUUGCUCCAAAUUGAGUGAAUGAGGUCCCAACUCGGUUUGUGCACUUGGCCGGCGCUAGAAAUUAUUGAUGGUGAAGGGCAGGGGGUGUACAUUUUCACAGUAGCGUACGCGGGACUUUUUUUCGGGACGGGUUUUGUUUAUAAAUUAUAACAAUUUUCUAGAAAGAGCGCAUAUUAUCAGUACAGUGCUAUUACCAUUAUUACCGAAUAAAUUACUUUUGAUGAGAUUCAAUUUUAUUUUAUUCUGCAUGGUAUACGAUGUGAAUAUAAAACUUGAUUUAUCAAAAUAUAAUGAAGGAAAACUUUUCGAAGGGAGUAAUGACCACCCCCCUCCUCGAUCCAUCCUUGAUUUAUGUUUCGUAUAAAUAUAUACGUAAGUAACUUAACUACUAACUACUACGUUAGGUUUAGAUAUACACGUAUAAUACUGUAAUAGCGAACUAUACGUAGAUAAUUCGUGUAGUUUACAUAGAAUUAUGUUUGUACAUUUUCCACCAAUCCUCACUAUGAAUUAUAGGAAUGUAGGGAAAAAAGCCAACAAUAUAAUGUUAAUCUAUACUACUAUAUAAAUUGAAGUCGCUUUUUUUUUGUUCGGGAUAAACUCCGAAACAACUUAUUCAAUCGUCGUGCAAUUUUUUUUAAACUAAAGAGGACAUCAUAGAGAAGGUUUUAGGCAUAAAUUUAGUCCGAUAAAGUUAAUUAAUAAUUAGUUAUUAUUAAUUAAAAU